ensembl:lncRNA
CAGAAUUCACAACAAAAUGCCUCCAGCUGUCCAUCACCACUGUAAAUAUAAAGAGUGGUUAUAGAGGAAAAAAUGUCAGAAGGCAAAUUCAGUUGAUGUGGAGCAGAAGACAAGAAAGAAGAAGGAGAGGGGCACUUCAUCCCCCUCUCCAAUUCCAUCUGACUGUUCUGAACGGAAUGGCUCUGCUACCUCUGACCCCUCACCCUCUGACCAACUCUCCUCCCUCCAUCCACCUCCCUCUCCUGUUAAAUGUUCCUCUCAGCCUUGCUCUCCUGCUAAACAACCCUCUGUACCCCGGUCACCUGCCAAAACCCUUCCCCAGUGAAAUCCUCUCCAGUGGUGUCCCACCCUAGUUCUCCCUCUCCUACCAACCCUCUGGACCGUCAUGGAGACACCAGUCAGGAGGGCACAACAGUCAGACCUCUGUCUCUUCAGGACCACUCUAGUCCAAGGCCCCAGAGACCAG